GAUGAACGCUGGCGGCGUGCCUAAUACAUGCAAGUCGAGCGAACGGACGCGAAGCUUGCUUUUCUGAUGUUAGCGGCGCACGGGUGAGUAACACGUGUAUAACCUCCCUAUAUGACUGGGAUAACUUCGGGAAACCGGCGCUUAUACCGGAGAAUCUUUUGAACCGCAUGGUUCAAAAGUGAAAGACGGUCUUGCUGUCACUUAUAGAUGCAUCCGCGCUGCAUUAGCUGGUUGGUAAGGUCACGGCUUACCAAGGCGAGGAUGCGUAGCCGACCUGAGAGAGUGAUCGCCGACAUGGGAACUGGGACACGGACAAGGGUCCUACGGGAGGCAGCAGUAGGCAACCGGCGGCAGUGGGCGGAAACCUGACGGAGCAAGCGGGCGUGAGUGAUGAAGGUGUUCGGAGCGGAAAACUGGGUUAUGAGGGAAGAACAUAUGUGGAAGGAACUGUGCAGAUCGUGACGGUAAUUAGUCAGAAAGCCACGGCUAACUACGUG
rnacentral:rRNA from 1 species